GGGGUUACAGUCUCGCUUCCUCUCCAGAGUCACCUUUAAGAUUCUCCUUUCAUCUGGCUGCCUUGGACUGAGCUUGUGCCACACUCAGAAGCAGUCACUGUGGUAGCCGCAGAACUGAAAUUGUGUAAGCUCCGUUUCAAGGCCCUGAGGUCCAGACCCCUGGCUAUUCUUGACCUGCAGCAGCCUUUAACCCUUAGCUCCUGCAUCUCCAGCCUGAGCUUCCACCCAGCUGCUCUUGACCAGCUUUGUUCAUCUGCUCUUCAUGCCUUCAGUAUUAAAUUCCCAGCUGUUGCUAUUAGGAAUCAACCAGUAGAAGGGAAGAAACCGAUAUAACAAGCGAGGACACCUGGGGAAGUUUUACAAUCUAACAGGAUGUCCCUCUCCAUGGAGAGCUGCCUGGAGCUGAGAGCGGUGUGACAGACCUGAAGCCAGCAUAGCACUGGUUCUUACCCAAGGCUCAAGGUGACCAUUGCCUGGUUUCUGCUGGUGUUUAUUCAAAGCCCAAGGGCUCUCCAGUCAGCAGGUGGUGAAUCUAGCCAGACUUGUAUCCUAUGCUUCAGGGCAAUGAGCUUCCCCUCAGCCUAAGGUGAGUCUAUGAAUGCUCUCUGGGAGUCAGGGUUGAAGUCAGAACACUCUGGAAUGUAUUUGGUUCUCUAUUCUACUGUGGCCAAGUUGUUACUCAAGCUGCAAAUCAACAUUCUUUCCACUCUUCCCUCUCCUUUCCUCAUGCAAAGGAAGUCUUCUCUUGUGGCCACAACUGCUCCAGGCCUGUGGCAAUUACUGCUUGGCUAUUGCCAAUGUUCACUCAAGGCCCAAGGGCUCUUCAGCCAGCUGGGUUAAAUGUUGCCUGGCCUGGCUCUCUCCCUUCGGGACAACAGGCUUCUCUUUGGCCCCAGGCAGGUCCAGAAAUGCUGUUCAAAAGCUGAGGCCUAGAAUUGGGGACCCCAGGAGGCCACUUGGUGCUUUACUCCUCUGUGGUCGAGCUGGUACCUAAGGUGCAAGACAAAGUCACCUUUACUCUUUCGUCUCCUUUUAAAAGCAGGAGUAUCUUCUCAUGUCCACCAGAGCUGGAAAUGUAGUGGGUAACACUGAAAGCCAGCACAACCCUGGGUCUCACCCAAGACCCACAGUGAAAACUUCCUAGGUACCAUUAAUUCUUAUUCAUGGCCCAAGUUCUCUUAGUUAGUAGGUGAUGAAUCUUGCCAUGAUUGGGUUAUUCCAUUCAAGGCAGCAUGUUCCAUUCUGGCCCAGUGUGUGUGUAGAAAUGUCAACUGGGAGCUGGGGCCUGGAACAGGGGCCCCAGGACUCUGCCUAGUGCCCUAUUACACUAUGGCUGAAUUGGUAUCCUAGUUGCAAAACGAAGUUCUCUUUUUUUUUCCCCUCUCCUUCUGAGCUGUGAGCUGUGCUGUCUGGGGUAAGGGGCAUGGGAGAUACAAGCACUCCCUUAGAUGCUCCAGCUGGUACCUCUCUAGGUCAUGUGCACUCAAAAUCCACUGGUUCAAGCCCAGCACGACAAAAAACAAAAA
ensembl:lncRNA